rnacentral:lncRNA from 1 species
AAAACCUCUAUAGAUAAGAAGAGGGCAUACCAGUGGCAGCCUGAUCUCUUCAAGCUGCAACAAUGGCUGAAGAAGUGAAGCUGUUUGGCAUGUGGGCAAGCCCUUUUAGCCGCAGAAUUGAAGUGGCCCUCAAGCUGAAAGGGAUUCAGUAUGAGUAUAUAGAAGAGGACUUGUCCAACAAGAGUCCUUCGCUUCUCAAGUAUAACCCAGUCCAUAAGAAAAUCCCUGUGCUUUUGCAUAAGGGAAAGCCAGUUGCAGAGUCACUUGUAAUCCUGGAGUACAUUGAUGAGACCUGGAAACACAACCCCAUCUUGCCUGCAGACCCUUAUGAGAGGGCCAUGGCACGGUUCUGGGCUAAGUUCUUAGAUGAGAAGGUAAACCCAUUACUAUUUUUUUUUCCUUUUUUAUUUUAAAUUCACUUGGGUCCUGACUACUGUACAAUAUUAUGCAGCUCUGGCCGGCAGCAAAAAAGGUUGCGUUGAGUAAGGGAGAGGAGCAUAAUGGACUGAUUGAAGAAAUCCAGGAGCAUCUGAAAACUCUAGAGAGUGAGCUGAAAGAGAAGAAAUUCUUUGGAGGGGAGAGUUUGGGAUUUGUAGACAUAGCUGCAGACAUUAUAUUUUGGCUGCUUGUUGUCCAAGAAACUCUGGGACUCGAUAUCCUAACCGAAGAUAAGUUUCCCGGAUUGCAUGAAUGGUAUCAUAGGCUUCUUGAUGAUGCUGUUUUCAAGGAAUGUGUGUCAAUGGAGCGACUUCUUGCCUCUUUCAAAGUUCGGUUUGGAGCCUUGACUGCUUCCAAAUGAAGAGCGGGUUUAUUUGUGGAUGACUUCAUGGGAGAGGAAUCUUUCUUCUUGCACAUGUAUUUCAUAGUUAUGCAUUAUGAAGUAUUGUAAUGAACCUUGUCCUGUUUGUGGGAAUGAGAACUUAAAAAUAAGUUUGGAGAAGUAUUGCUCCAAAUGGCCUUAGGAAGAAGACUCAAACAUUGCCUCCUAAUUAAUAGGAAUUGAAUAUCCUAUGUUCAUCUACCUCUUGGUUAGAUUGAAUAAAGAUUUGGAUAUAGAAAUCCUUAUGACUGAGUCAUGGUUUGGUUCGGGGUUUAGUUCAGAGAUGAGAAUGUAAGUGGUAUGGGUAACAUUCAGCCUCAACUCCAUUCCUUUUAAGGUUUUCGAUUGGGUUUUCAUCCUCCCAUCAACGAAUGUAAAUCAAAUCUAAAAGUCAUUAUUUGAGGAAUUAUUUGGGUAAAUAAUCCCGACAGUCCAAUCAUCUCUCCCCAGCAUGAUGCUCCCCCAACAUUAUUGAAAUAUGUUUAACAUUUAUUAAAUGUUUAGUGAUGAAUUGGAGUGUGACAAUGAUGCUCUUUCCAAUAAAUAUUUCUCAAAAUUACCAUUUUUUUUUCAAAAAUCCUCCACCAACCCAUUAUAAAUGUAAGUAAUCAUACUAAAAUAAUAAUGCUAAUACAAUUGAAAUAAAAAAUAAAAUAUGAAUAAAUAAGUAACACAAUUUUAUUUUACUCUUUAGUCUAUAAUCUUUCUUCUUAAUAAUUAAAUAUUAUAAAUUUAUUAUUUAUUAAAAUAAAAAAUCUAAUAUAUUUAUAUUUUAUUUUUAUUGUGAUUUUAUAAUUCUUUUAAUUUUAGUAAUAUAUAAAUUAUAUAUUUAUAUUGUACAGUCAGUCACCUCGAUCCCACAUUUCAAGCAUAAACCAAUUAUUUAAAACAUAAUAUUGUUGGAUCAAAACAUCAAUUUUGAUCCAAAAUUCCUUUCUCCGAGAUUAACUGCCCAUGUGAAUGAUCUAAAGCGGUCAGGGAUAUAUCACGUGACCCAAAAAACGACAAAGGAAGGGACAGUGUCGACGGACAGUGCGGUGGCUCCUCUGCCAAAAAGUUGGUCACAGACUUUAAAAGGUAAGUUUUGGGGUAAAAUAACCCUUUUACAACAAAAAAAAACAAAAGAAUUUGGGAAACUGUGUUUUGACGGGCCAUUUGAAAAAUAUCUUAUUUUUGGAAUCCAAUUUUAUAAAAUAUGAUAACCAGAUUUUAAUAUGAAAAGUAAUAUUGCUUUUAUGCACUUUGACCUGGCUCCAUUUUUUUUGUCAAGAUUGCCCUCUGACGGCAAUGACCUCGACGGCAAUGGCUUUUGGCUUAGGUUUUUCGGUGUCGGAGGGGGCUUCCUUUUCGACUUUUUUCUUCAUGCUAGAGUGAGGAGUGAGGAGUGAGGAAGACGAAAGUGUCCUUGCCGUCGUUGUUGCUCCGGUGGAGGAAGUCGCAAAACUUCCACCGUUUUGAUGAUCAUGUGGAGUUGCUUUUCCUGCACCUUCCCGAUGGAGACUUCGCUACCUUGGGUUUCCACACACAGUACAUCCUCGACAGCACUCCCUCGAGCUCGUCGACCUCUGAUGACAAGGACACUCCAGGUCCAUUGCAGAUAAAAAAAAUAGGUUAUAGUGGUGACGAUGACAAUGGACUGAGUUGCGGCGACAAUAACCUUGACACAUCCAGAUUUUUCUCAAAUAUGAAAUAGAAUUUCAAUUGAAAAAUAUGCUUUUGAUAGAGGAGAGAGGAACGGCUUCGGAGGCCGACGAGCUCGAGGGAGUGCUAUCGGGGAUGUACUGUGUGUGGAAACCCAAGGCGGCGAAGUCUCCACCAAGAAGGUGCAGGAAAAACAACUCCACGGGAUCAUCGAAACGGUGGAAGUUCCGCAACUUUCUCCAUCGGAGCAACAGCGACGACAAGGACACUUUCGUCUUCCUCACUCCUCACUCCAGCAUGAAGAAAAAAGCCGAAAAGGAAGUCCCCUUGGGCGCUGAAAAACCUAAGUCAAAAGCCAUUACCGCCAAGGUCAUUGCCGCCGAAGGGCAUUCUUAGCACAAAAAAUGGAGCCAGCUCAAAGUGCAUAAAAGCAAUAUUACUUUCCAUAUUAAAAUUUGGUUCUCAUAUUUUAUAAAAUUGGGUUAUGAAAAUCAGAUAUUUUCCAAAUAGCCCCAUCAAAACACAAGUUUCCCAAAAAAAAUUAUAUAUAAGGUUAAGCCUUUUUACAAAAUUCAUGAUUUUAUUUUAAUUUUUUAAAAUUUAAGUUGAAACCUUGAUUAGAUUUCAGUUUUGGAUUGAAGCCGCAAUUAACAAUUAAGACUUCGUUUUUUAACUGAAGUUGUAAUUAGCAAUUGAUGCUUCAAUUUUUUUUCUUACUUUAAAAUUUAAUUUAAAAAUAUUAAAUUAAAAAUUAUUAUUAAAAUUAAAAAUAUAUAAUUUAAUAAUAAGAAAUUUAUAUACUUAAACUUAAAGAUUUAGUAUUACUUUAAUAAAGAUAAAUUGAUAAAUAUAAUAAUAAAUAAAUAUUUUAUUUAUCAAUAAAUUAAUAAUUUUAAAAUAAUAAAGUUAUAUGAGACAUAAAUAAUGUAUAAAUUUAUAUAAUUUAUUAAUUUAAUAUAUUAAAUUUAUUAUAUUUUUAAAAUAUAAAAUGAUAUAAUCUAUUAAUUUAAAUUACAUCACGUGUAGUACCUACUAAAAUCAUAGAGGGACAUUUUUUUCCAUUAUAUAUGAAAUAUUAAGAUUAUAUUAUUAUUUUAAUAAAGAUUAAUUUGUCAAAAUACAAAUAAAUUAAUAUCUUAAAAAUACAACAAAUUAAAUAUCUUAAAUUAAUAAAUUAUAUAAUUUAUAUCUUAUUUAUAUAUUAUAUAAUUUUAUUAUUUUAAGAUUAUUAAUUUAUUGAUAAAUAAAAUAUUUAUUUAUUAUUAUAUUUAACAAUUUAUAUAUUAGAUUGUUAUAUUUAAAUAUAUAACUUUUUUUUAUUAUUAAGUAUAUACUUUUAAUUUCAAUAAUAAUUUAUAAUUUAAUAUUUUUAAUUAAAAUUUAAAGUAAAAAAAAUUAACUGAAACCUUUAUUGAAAAUUGAGAUCUUAGUUAAAAAAUGAAAUCACAAUUAUCAAUUGUAACUUUAAUUUAAAAAUGAAAUCUCAAUUAACAAUUGAAAUUUCAACUUCAAAAUGAAGCCUCAAUUGAUAAUUGAAGUUUCAGUUUCAAAAUGAUGUCUCAGUUACUAAUUACUUUUUAAAAAUAAAGUAUCAUUUAACAAUUGAAACUUUAAUUUAAAUUUUGAUUAAAUAAAAUAAAAUAAAAUUAUGAUAUAUCUCUUAGUGAUGAUAAAAAGAUUAAUUUGAUCAUAAAGUUUUGCGGACGGGAUACACUAACAUUUCCUUUUAUAAAAGGGUUAUUUUGCACCCCCAAACUCUCAAAAGGCAUUGGCUGACGUCACCAAGUACAUUAUUGGGAUCCCAACCAGCCAUCCUAUCACACUCCACAUUAAAAUCUCCACAAAUCCAAGGUCCAGGACGGCACCUGGUUAAUCAAGAUUCAAGAUCAAGAAAACCACUAUAAAUAAGAAGAGAGCAUACCAAUGGCAGCCACAUCUCUUCAAUCAGCAACAAUGGCUGAAGAAGUGAAGCUUUUUGGCACGUGGGCAAGCCCCUUUAGCCGCAGAAUUGAAGUGGCCCUGAAGCUGAAAGGAGUUCAAUUUGAACAUAGCAGAGAACUUGUCCAGUAAGAGUCCUGCGCUUCUCACGUAUAAUCCAGUUCACAAGAAAAUCCCUGUGCUUGUACACAAUGGAAAGCCGGUUGCAGAGUCACUUGUCAUCCUGGAGUACAUUGAUGAGACCUGGAAACAUAAUCCCAUCUUGCCUACAGACCCUUAUGAGAAGGCCAUGGCACGGUUCUGGGCUAAGUACAUAGAUGACAAGGUAAACCCAAUAGUAUCUUCCUUUUUUAAAAAUUUUCAUUUGGGUCCCGACCACUAUUCGUUAGGCGGUUCUGGCCGGCAGCCAAAAAAGGUUGUGGUGAGUAAGGGAGAGGAGCAAAAGGGAGUGAUUGAAGAAAUCCAGGAGCAGCUGAAAACUCUAGAGAGUGAGCUGAAAGAGACGAAAUUCUUUGGAGGGGAGAGUUUGGGAUUUGUAGACAUAGCUGCAAACAUUUUAGUUUGGCUUCUUGUUGCCCAAGAAGCUCUGGGAUUUGUUGGAACUUUUACUAAUAAAACUAAAUUACCUACUUUUAUCUAGGAAUAUAUUAUUACCUUCAUUAUGAUUUUAACCCAGAUCUAACCUACUAUGUACCAUGAAUAUUCCCUCUCACAGCAAACACCUAGGAAACAACCAAAUAUCUUCUACUUUCAAGCCUACAGUUAUAUUAUACAUGUUAGGGUCAAACAAUGUACUAAAAUGGAUCUCCAAUGACAGUCUAGGAUUUAUAUAGUUUUUUACUAGUGUAAAAAAUUUUAAAUCCUUGAUGAAUGAUGCUUUUACUUCAUGUUUAGUAGACUCUUACUGUGGAUGAGAAUUAAUUAACUAAUCAUAUAUUAAGGUAUCGAAGUGGUAUUUAUCACACUCCCAAAUCCAUACCAUUGAAUAAAAGUCUAAAUACAUAAAACUUAGAUAUAUUUUAAUUUAUAAAGGAAAAAUGGUAAGAUAAUAAAAGUGGUACCUGUCGAACUACAUUCUAGAAUGUCAAAUUUAUAUCCAUGACCAUGAAUAAGGAUAUAAAUAAAUGGAAAUAAGGUACAGAAUACAAAUAAACGAAUCGAUGGUCUAUAUGUAUUUGGAUAGGUACUAUUUUGAUGGCUUAGCAAGAGUAGCUCGGAAAGUUCAAAAACGAAAAAAUGGUGGAUGGUAGACCCACAGCAAUACACCAACCGAUGAAUAUUUUUGAAAGACAUCGGGUCAAACUCGAGUUAUGAUGCAGAAUGGUCUGUGCAAUAUCGCUUCACCAGUAAACGGGUUUGUCCUCAAAUGAAAAAGGGAAGCCGAAAGCCAGUGAACAAAUUACACGAAAAAGUUUGUCCAAGACUCCCAAGGCUUCAAACGUUCCUUCGUCUGCAUAAUUCUUAGUGCACACGUAUUGGCUGACGUCUGGAAGCCUCUUGAUGGCGUCACCAUAUACAUCAAUGCUUCCCAAUCAGCCAUUCGACGACACUGACACGCUCCAAAGUCCAAACUAAGAUCUCGACAAAAGAAAAACCCCUAUAAAUCAGAAGAAAAUACGGCAAGGGAACCAUACCUCUCCAAACUGCAACAAUGGCUGAAGAAGUGAAGCUGUUUGGUGCAUGGGGAAGCCCCUAUAGCCGCAGAAUUGAAUUGGCCCUGAAGCUGAAAGGACUUCAAUUUGAAUACAUAGAAGAGAACUUGUACAAUAAGAGUCCUGCGCUUCUCAAGUAUAAUCCAGUUCACAAGAAAGUCCCUGUGCUCGUACACAAUGGAAAGCCGGUUGCAGAGUCACUUGUCAUCCUGGAGUACAUUGAUGAGACCUGGAAACACAACCCCUUCUUGCCUACAGACCCUUACGAAAAGGCCAAGGCACGGUUCUGGGCUAGGUUCAUAGAUGAGAAGGUAAAUCUAAUACUAUUUUGUUUUUCUUUUUUUAAAAAUCAUCUGGGUCUUGUCUCUUUAAGCAUUGGUAAACUUUAUAUGCAUUAUACAGUUCUGGCCGGCAGCAAAAAAGGCUAUGGCGAGUAGGGGAAGGGAGCGAGAGGAAGCGAUUGAAGAAGCUCAGCAGCAUCUGAAAACCCUUGAGAGUGAGCUGAAAGAGAAGAAAAUCUUUGGAAGGGAGAGUUUGGGAUUUGUAGACAUAGCUGCGCAUCUUUUGUUUUGGCUUGUUGUUGCCCAAGAAGCCUUUGGAGUGGAGAUCCUAACUGAGGAGAAGUUUCCCGCCGUGCAUGAAUUGUAUCAAAGGCUCGCAGAUGAGGCUGUUUUCAAGGAAUGUAUGCCACCAAAGGAGCAACUCAUUGCCUAUCUUAAAGUUCGGUUGGGAGCCUGGACUGCUUCCAAAUGAAGAGUUGGUUUAUGUACGUGUCUGAGUUGAUGGGAGAGGAACCUCUUUCUUCUCAUCUACGUAUGUCAAAGUCCUGUAUUUUGAAGUUGUAUCAUGAGCUUUGUCCCGUUUGUGGGUAUGAGAACUUAAAAAUAAAUUGGAGAAGUACUGCACUAAAUGGUACUACGAGGAAGAACACUCCAGCAUUGCUCCUUAAUAAUAGCAUUUCAAUUCUAUGUACAUCGACCUCUAGAUUAGAUUAAUAAAGAUUUGGAUAUAGAGAUGCUUAUGAAAGAGCAGCAUGGCUUGGUUCUGGUUCAGUUCAUGGAUAUGAGAGAAUGUAAGUGACGUUGAGCCUCAACUCUAAUGCUUUAAGGUUGUGUUUUGAAUUUAUGGCAUGGGAUGCUGAUGCUACUUCUAUAUUCUGCUUUGAAUCAUGGGUGUAUAUGGGCAUCACAAAACUAGAAGCUCCGUUUUGCUACAAAAUUUUCAAAACAUUCAAUGUUUCUAUGCCUAUUUUUUAAAAUAAUUGAUUAUAAACAUAUAAAAUAGUAAUUAACAAAAAUGCUCCUUUUACCAAUUUUUGUUUUUAUUCUAUCAUUCUUCCUAUGCUAUUAGGAGCAAAUUCUCUUUUAUUUAACCAUUUUAGGAUUUUUCAUUAUUUUUUAAACUCUUUUAUAAAUAAUUGAAAAAUCAAUAUUAUUUUCGGUUGGUUGCAGAGUCACUUGUCAUCCUGGAGUACAUUGAUGAGACCUGGAAACACAACCCCAUCUUGCCUACAGACCCUUACGAAAAGGCCUUGGCACGGUUCUGGGCUAGGUUCAUAGAUGAGAAGGUAAACCCAACACUAUUUUCCUUUUUCUUUUUUCUAAAAAAAAAAAAUAAAAUUCAUUUGGGUCCUGUCUCUUUAAGCAUUAAACUCCAUAUUCAUUAUGCAGUUCUGGGCGAUCUGGCCGGCAGUAAAAAAGGCUAUAGUGAGUAGGGAAAGGGAGCGAGAGGAAGCGAUUGAAGAAACUCGGCCGCAUCUGAAAACCCUUGAGAGUGGGCUGAAAGAGAGGAAAUUCGUUGGAGGAGAGAGUUUGGGAUUCGUAGAGCUGGCUGCAAACGUUAUAGUUUGGCUUUUUGUUGCCCAAGAAGUUCUGGGACUGCUAACCGAAGAGAAGUUUCCCACUGUGCAUGAAUGGUAUCAAAGGUUUGCUGAUGAUGCUGUUUUCAAGGAAUGUGCGCCACCAAGGGAGCUAUUCAUUGCCUAUUAUAAAGCUCUAUUUGGAGCCUCCACUGCUUCCAAAUGAAGAGUUGGUUUAUGUAUGAGUCUGAGUUGAUGGGAGAGGAACCUUUCUUCUCAUCUAUGUAUUUCAUAGUUAUGUAUUUUGAAGCUGUAUCAUGGGCUUUGCCCUGUUUCUGGGAAUGAGAACUCAAUAAUAAAUUGGACAAGUACUUCUCCAAACGGAAUUAUAAGGAGGAAAACUCAGAGCAUUGCUCCUUAUUAAUAGAGUUCCAAUUCUGUGGUCAUCUACCUAUAAAUAUUAAGAUUUGGAUAUAGAGAUCCUUAUGACAGAGCAGCAAGGCUUGGUCCUGGGUUUACUUCAUGGAUGAGAAUUAAUGCAAGUGACAUGAGUAAGUGAGUAACAUUCAGCCUCAACUCCAAGAGUUGUCUUAUCAACCAAACACUCUUUAUCAUUAUGUUGGUUUUCAAGAAAGUUUGACUGUUUGAGGCUUCCAGCAAGCUGGGGGGAAUGAAAAUAUUAAAAAGAGAGACAAAUUUAUAAAUUUUUUAUUUUAUGGUCUAUAGAAAAGUUGCUGGAGGGAAAAUUAAAUUAUCAAUAAAUAUAUUUUUCCUCUUCUUUUUAAAUAAAAAUGACAAGGAAAAUCUUUUAGAUUAGGUUUGAUUUUUGAAAAAAUUGAAGGAAAAAAAAUACAAAGGAAAAGUAAAAGUGAAGGAAAAUAAAAAAAAUAAGUUUAAAUUUUAUAAAUUAUUUUUAUAUGUUUUUUAAAUUUAUUUUAUUUAUUUUUCUCUAUUAUAUAAAAUUUAAAUUAAAUUAAAUUAUAUUUAAUUCAAAAAUAAGAAAAUCAUUUUUCUUAAUAUUAUUUUUCUUUCUUUAAUAUUUUCGGGAACCAAACAUAGUCUUAAUAUUUUUCAUUUCUUUAGAAAGAAAAAAAAAUAAUUGAUUUCAAUUCUCAAAUAUGAUAUUAGAAUGGAAGAAAUUAUAGAGGCACAAGAUUUCACAAUUUUGAAGGAAUAAUUUUAAAAUUUUUAAUUCUUUUAAAAAAGAGUGAAAUUUCAUUGCAUUUGAAUUUCAUUAAAGUAUAAGGAGUGAGAGUGACAACUUCAACUUUUUCAAUAUUACCUUUAUCUCUUUUUUUUUUCUUUUUUUCAUUAUUUAUUUUAUUUUUUCAUUUUUUUAAUGGUAAAAUAUUUUGCAAGAAUUUAUUUCAAAUAAGUACGGAGAAUUUUUCUUUUUGUCAAUCUAGUAUGCUUCAUAUGAAUUAAAUUAAAUUAAUAUAAGCUUUUAAUUUCUUUAAAUAAUAUAACAAUUUUUUUUUUGAGUUAAUUAAAAAUUUCAAGUAAUAUCUUUUUCAUUUUUCUUACAUUACUUCACUACUUUUCUUUUCCAUCAAGAAACCUAUAGAAAAUAGAAUACAAAUUCUUGUUGGGCUUCCAAUAUGUAUAUAAAAUUCACAUCACUAUUUUCUACAUGAUCAUUUAUUGAAAUUCAUGCAAUCCAUUCAAAGACAGGCUAAUGUUUGAAACUUCACCGUGGAAAUCAUAGUGUCUUAAGGCAAACGCACAGGGUGAGAAUUGCAGACAUGUUAAUGGCGUCAUCAAACAUCCAUCCGAUGACCAGAAAUAUCAACAUUUGCCAUUAUGCCCCUAUUAUGACCACAAGGAAACCAGUUAUAGAGGGUAAGCCUAGAGCCUUGUUCAUCAAGAAAAUCUCUACUGCACUCUCCUAUAAAAAUGAAGAAACCACCCCACAUGCAGCACACCUCUCCGAACUGCAACAAUGGCUGAAGAAGUGAAGCUGUUUGGCAUGUGGGCAAGCCCUUUUAGCCGCAGAAUUGAAGUGGCCCUAAAGCUAAAAGGGGUUCAGUAUGAAUACAUAGACGAGGACUUGUCCAACAAGAGUCCUUCGCUUCUCAAGCAUAACCCAAUCCAUAAGCAAAUCCCUGUGCUUUUGCAUAAUGGAAAGCCAGUUGCAGAGUCACUUAUCAUCAUAGAAUACAUCGAUGAGACCUGGUAGCACAACCCCAUCUUGCCUACAGACCCUUAUGAGAAGGCCAUGGCUCGGUUCUGGGCUAAGUUCGUAGAUGAGAAG